rnacentral:lncRNA from 1 species
AUUCCAGUUGUUUUCUAUCUUGUGUUGUUUGUGGGGAAGGGGGUGGUGGGGCUCCCCACGAGCUUGUGGUAUUUAGUCUCGAGCUCUGGGAUUGUUUCUAAUGCCUAAGGAUGGAUCUCAUUUUAUAUCUGAGAUGGCAAGUCAGACUUCAAGAAGGAAGAGGAUGCAAGAUGGAUUGUUUUAAUUUUGUCAAGUUAGACAGAUUGUUAUGCAGAGCAAACCCAAACCACCCUGUUCCCACUGCCCAGGACUUCUGUGACUGAUGAGAUGAAAAUGAGGCACACACACAAACACACUCACUUAACCGUAUCAGUAUGUGUGUGUUCAUAUGGCAGAAGAGACACUGUGAUGUGUCUGCAUGAUGCACGUGUGGUGGGGAGGGGCUUAAUGACAUGAGACACUGGGAGCUUGAGCUGUUUUUCUAUGGGUAACCAUCAAUGGGAUAGAAAUGUGUGCUACUUAUGUAUGGAUAAAGUGGUUUCAAAAAAUCAUUUCCUAACUGCGGGAUCUAGGAGUCCUGGAAGAAGAUUCAGACAGGAUUGAUUAUUGCCUUUUCAGCUGGUUAUCUCAUAGAAGUUCUGAUUUCUUUGAUCACCAGGCGACUUAUGGCAAUGUGUCAGGCCAAGGCUAAAGUCUUCUAGAAGUGCAUUAUUUUAAGGGUACCCAAGAUCUCCUUUAAUCAGGGGGGAUGAGACACACAAGCCCAGAAGUGACUGUGUGAAGGACAAUACUUGUUAUACUCACAGUUCCCCAGAAACAGGAGACAAAGCACACCAUGCUGGUGGGGGGGUGUUAGGGUUCCUCAGAGAGAGAGUCCAGAGACCGAGAGGUCAGGGGGAAAUGUGGGUCAGGGCUUCUAGUGCAGCUUCUGGGGAAGGCAGGCCAGGCGAGGUAAACAAGUUAGGAUGACCUAAUUCGAAUAAACCUCUGCGCAUCCCUAGUUAUCUGGUCCCUGGGCGGGAGGCUGGUGGUCCUGAAUGAGAAGGACCAAGAGGAGACCCAGGCAGAGGUUGGGGUGUGGACUCUGGUCUGGUCGAUUUGACAUGAAGGAUGCACUCACCCCAGGGGUUGUUCACUGUGUCCAGGAGUCAGCCAGCCCUGGGAGGGGUAUCCCUACAGGGUCAGCAAGGCUUUAGACUUCAAAGCAUUGAAAUCCAUACAAUAAAAAAAACAUGGUAAAUGCACACAUGCAAGUUUCACAUCCUGUGGUUCUCAAAAACAGAGGAAGGUCGUGAGGGGUAUGGAUCUCAUAUAUACUGGGAAACCUCAGUAGUGACUCUUCAGUGUCAAAGUUCAGGGGAAAGUACUGUUUUGUCUUGUUCAAGUAUUUACUGGUUUUGUGAGCUACACUGUGGUAGUAUUUAGUAUGGUCACACACUGUGCAGCCAUCACCACCUGCUAAUUCCUGAGUGUUUCCAGCUGGGGGCAUGGCUUGGGGCUCCAGCAGGUGUUCAGCAGGCACAGUGGGGAGGGAAGCGUGCCCUGCUCUGAGUUCUCCAGAUGUGCAGAACAGCAGUGCUCAGGCUGUGCCUACCCCGAGCUGCUCCAUUUUAUGAAGCAGUCGUUUGCAUAAGUUGGACUCCAUCUUGAAUCCAAUGCCAAGGUACAAUGACUCCACACCUUGUUUGUACAAGGAAACAACCGCCAUCUGCCCGGCACGACCAUAAGGUACAAAUGGAUAAAUAACUUAUUGGUGCCAACUUACCAAACUAAAUCAAGGACAUCCUGAAUCAUAUCAGGAACACCUGACACAGGAGCUUAUCAACCUCACUUAAGACCCAUAAAAGGAGGAACCUGGACACCAUGACAUCCUGACCUGGUCACCUGGCCACUCAUCAUGAGCCUCCAUUUCCUGUCCCUUCAGGCCUCAGCACAGCAUGGUUUCUCCUGCACAGGCCACUCCAAGCUGACACCUCAGGAGGAUACUUCAAGCUGACACUCUGAAACUGCCAUCUGUCCAGACCCUUUGAGGACCCUGCAGAGCUGGUUCAUUAAAACCCUUAUCUGACCACCCACAGUGACUCACUGAGUUUUCGCAUCCAUCUCUCUUGGCAUGGGAUUCUAUAAUCCUUCAAGUCCCCUGACCCUUCCUUUGUCUUUCGGUGACCUACACACAUCAUUGUGUGAAGUCCGGUAUGUGACUUGAGUGUUACAGAUAUUAGAGAAUGAGAUUGGAAGGAAAGAACUUGUGGAUGCCUAACUUAUCCCUCAGGUGACCCAGGAGAACUUGGUGAACAGCUAAUGCUGGAAGCUUUGGAGCUGGUGAGUUUAUUGUAAUUCAAUAAAUUCUGACAUUGUGGAAAGAAACAACAUGUUUGGUCUUUGUUAAUGGCAUAACUUACUCAUGACAAGGCCUUGGGUCUGAUCCGUAGUGAAAGGAAGGAACGAAGGAAGAAAUCCAAGAAGAAAUUCCAUACCCACCAUCGGUCAUUCCCCUUUCUCCCUACCUUUCCCCCACCACCAAAAACUAACCUAAAUUCUGCCUCUGAAUUUGCCUACAUUGGACGUUUCAUGUACAUGGAAUCAUACAGUGUGUGACCUUUGCGUCCGGCUUCUUUCACUUAGCAAGAUGUCCUCACAGUCCAUUCAUGCUAUGGCAUGUAUCAAUAUGUCUUUCCUUUUACUGCUGAAUAAUAUUCCAUUGUAUAGAUACACCAUGUUUGAUUUGUCCAUUCAUUAGUUGAUAGAUAAUUCAUUUGUUUUCACAUUUUGAAUAUUACGAAUAAUACAGUUAUGAACAUUCAUGUUACAACUUUUGUAUGGAGUUUUCAUUUCUCUUGGAUGCAUAUUAGAGUGGAAUUUCUGGGACACAUAAUAACUCUUCAUUUGCUUUUUGAAGGAUUCGCAACCUGUUUUCUAAAGCGGCUGCGCCAGCUAUGAAUAAAGCUCCCCAUUUCUGCACGUCCUAACAGACAUUUGUUAUCAUCUUCCUUUUUGAUAACAGUCACCCUAGUGGAAGUAAAGUGCAUUUAAAUAUUUAAAUAAAUAAAUAUUUAAUAAAGUGGUAUUAUAAAUUAGAUUUGCAUUUUCUAACUAAUGAAAUUGAC